rnacentral:rRNA from 1 species
CCUACGGGGGGCAGCAGUGGGGAAUAUUGCACAAUGGGGGAAACCCUGAUGCAGCGACGCCGCGUGAGUGAAGAAGUAUUUCGGUAUGUAAAGCUCUAUCAGCAGGGAAGAAAUAGCGACCUUUGGGUCGCCAGACGGUACCUGAUUAAGAAGCCCCGGCUAACUACGUGCCAGCAGCCGCGGUAAUACGUAGGGGGCAAGCGUUAUCCGGAUUUACUGGGUGUAAAGGGAGCGUAGACGGCAGCGCAAGUCUGAAGUGAAAGGCCGGGGCUUAACCCCGGAACUGCUUUGGAAGCUGUGCGGUUAGAGGGAAGGAGAGGAAAGGGGAAGUCCUGGUGUAGCGGGGAAAUGCGUAGAUAUUAGGAGGAACACCAGUGGCGAAGGCGGCUUACUGGACUGUAACGGACGUGGAGGCUCGAAAGCGUGGGGAGCAAACAGGAUUAGAUACCCCAGUAGUC